AGGGUGUUGUUUGGGGUGUUGGGGUGUUCCUAUGGGUGCUGGGGUGUUCCUAUGGGUGUUGGGGUGUUCCUAUGGGUGCUGGGGUGUUGUUUGGGGUGCUGGGGUGUUCCUAUGGGUGCUCAGGGUGUUAUUGGGGUGCUGAGGUGUUCCUAUGGGUGCUCAGGGUGUUGUUGGGGGUGCCGGGGUGUUCCUAUGGGUGUUGGGGUGUUCCUAUGGGUGCUCAGGGUGUUAUUGGGGUGCUGAGGUGUUCCUAUGGGUGCUGGGGGGGUUGUUUGGGGUGCUGGGGUGUUCCUAUGGGUGUUGGGGUGUUCCUAUGGGUGCUCAGGGUGUUAUUGGGGGUGCUGGGGUGUUCCUAUGGGUGCUCAGGGUGAUGUUUGGGGUGCUGGGUGUUCCUAUGGGUGCUGGGUGUUCCUAUGGGUGCUGGGUGUUCCUAUGGGUGCUGGGUGUUCCUAUGGGUGCUGGGUUGUUCCUAUGGGUGCUGGGUUGUUCCUAUGGGUGCUGGGUGUUGUUCCUAUGGGUGCUGGGUGUUGCUAUGGGUGUUGGGCUGUUCUUUGGGGUGCUGGGGUGUUCGUAUGGGU
ensembl:lncRNA